AUUUUGGAUAAAUUUCAAGUAUCACUCCUAUAGUUUUGUGCUUUCUCACUUUAUUACUAUGCGCUUUAAAGUAUAUCACUUUAGUAUUCAGUGAUUUUAUUUGUCUCUUUUCGUCAUCACCUCCAUUAACUUUUUAUUAAAUCAUAUGCAAAAUAUUUCAGAUACUCCACCUACGAUUUAUCGAAUAUUCACUUUAAUAUUCUAUAAUUUACCGAAUUUUUACUUUAGUAUUCUGUGGUUUUAAUUUCGUCAUUGAUUUAGCGAAAAAAAUUAAUAGAGAAAAUAAUUUUUAAAAAAAAUCAUAAGAUACGAAAGUGAUAUAUUUUAAAUCACGGGAUAGUAUUUCUUUUAUUUUUCUGAGUUAGGAAAAAA
rnacentral:lncRNA from 1 species